rnacentral:lncRNA from 1 species
CUUGCUUUGGCCCAUAGAAUAUGUUGGAAACGAUGGUGUGCCAGUUUCAAGCCUAGGUCUUAGGGAAGCCUGCAUGUCUCUGGUCUCUUGGGAUUCUACCAAGACCUAAGAAAAACCUUAGGCUAGCUUGCUGUAGUAUGAGACAUGUGGACAAAUCCUAAUGGUUCCAACUAUCCCAGACAGUCUGUGUUUAGCUAACUCUUCGCCUGAUCACAGAUGCUUGAGCAAUCUCAGUUGGGAGCAGCUAAGCCUCACUAGCUCAGCAGACCUAUUCAGUGAACCCAUAGAUGGACAGGAAGUAGG